UGGGAUGUAGCUCAGUGGCAAAGCGCUUGCCUAGCAAAUGCAACAUACUGGGUUCAAUCCCCCAUACCAA
rfam:Dipodomys ordii contig_72739, whole genome shotgun sequence.